rnacentral:rRNA from 1 species
UACAGAGGGUGCAAGCGUUAAUCGGAAUUACUGGGCGUAAAGCGCGCGUAGGCGGCUUUGUAAGUUAGAGGUGAAAGCCCGGAGCUCAACUCCGGAACUGCCUUUAAGACUGCAUCGCUUGAAUCCAGGAGAGGUGAGUGGAAUUCCGAGUGUAGAGGUGAAAUUCGUAGAUAUUCGGAAGAACACCAGUGGCGAAGGCGGCUCACUGGACUGGUAUUGACGCUGAGGUGCGAAAGCGUGGGGAGCAAACAGG